rnacentral:rRNA from 1 species
CCUACGGGAGGCAGCAGUGGGGAAUAUUGCGCAAUGGGCGAAAGCCUGACGCAGCGACGCCGCGUGAGGGAUGAAGGUCUUCGGAUCGUUAACCUCUGUCAGCAGGGAAGAACGGUCACUGUGCUAAUCAGCAGUGAAUUGACGGUACCUGCAAAGGAAGCACCGGCUAACUCCGUGCCAGCAGCCGCGGUAAUACGGUGGGUGCGAGCGUUAAUCGGAAUUACUGGGCGUAAAGCGCUCGUAGGCGGUAUGUCAAGUCAAGGGUGAAAUCCCCGCGCUCAACGUGGGAACUGCCUUUGAAACUGGCAAACUGGAGUGGGUGAGAGGAAAGUGGAAUUCCAGGUGUAGGAGUGAAAUCCGUAGAUAUCUGGAGGAACAUCAGGGGCGAAGGCGACUAUCUGGCACAUAACUGACGCUGAGGAGCGAAAGCGUGGGUAGCAAACAGGAUUAGAUACCCCAGUAGUC